CAAAUCGUAUAGCGAUGAUGAUAUUCACAAAAGCAUCAAUAUAAUGUGUGGUCCAGUACCUCUAAUGGCAACAAGAAGCUUAACGCUGCGUAUAACGAAGCAGCUGGAGACAAGUCCUCCUGCCCUGUUUUUCUCAUCUUCUCUGUAAACACAAGUGGGCAGUUUGUUGGUUUAGCGGAGAUGGUAUGACCAGUUGAUUAGAACCAGAUGGCGGAGUGCUGGCAGCAGGACAAGUGGGUUGGUUGCUUCCCUGUUAAGUGUCACAUCGUUAAAGAUAUCCCGAAUUGUUCCUUGAGGCAUAUUACACUUGAGAAUGAUGAGAACAAGCCUGUUACUAAUAGCCGUGAUACACAGGAGGUCAGAGAGUCUUCUGGUUUCCUUUCUUAGUUUCUCCCUCUGUCAUGUGAAAAAAAAUUAAAUUUUAGUUUCUGUGGAUUUUGAAAUGGGCAGGUAAAGAUAGAGCAAGGAGUCAAAGUAAUCAAAUUUUUUAAGGAACAUGUGAGCAAGACAUGCAUACAAGACAUGCAUACUCAAUGAUUUUGUCUUCUAUGAGAAUUGUGAAAAUAUAAUCAAAGACUGGGAAAAAGAAACACCAGCUGUAUAAAAGACAGCAAUCUUUUAGUGCCAGUGACAAAAAGGCAACACCAAAAGACAAAUCUAAGGAAACCAGUGUGAUAGCAGAAGUGGCUGAAGAGAUAUAACAAAACGGUGUUGCAGAAGUUGCGAGCACAUGCUGAAUCGCAUGCUGAGUGCAGCAGCAAGCUGCUUACUUUACUUUGGAUGGUUUUUUUUGUCCGUUUUCUCUACCAAAUUUGCUCACUCUUUUCUUAGGAGUUUGGUUUUCUUUUGGUAGUUGGUUUUUGAAGUUGUAGAAGAUAUAUGAGUAAAAAUGAUUUCGAAGGCUAUAUAUAUAUUUCUUUUUCUUAAAAGUUCAAUGCAAAAAUAUAUUUUCUGUAUGUUUUUGUAACUUCAUUCACAAAAUUUCAAUCAGAAAAUAAAGGGCAUUGUAAUUGAGAAAAAAAAAGAAAACAAAUCAACCUUUGUGAGCUAUUUGAACAAAUAAAUGUUGGAAACCAACUCUUGGUCGUCUCUCCGCCACUGGUGUAUCCCAUGAGCUUCCUUAUAGUCUUCAGAAGCAGUCCGGUUUACAAUCAGCUUAGCAGAUGGGAUGAUGUGAACAGGCUCUUGCACAUCCACUGUAAAAUGCUUCAAAACAGUCAAAGAAAUAUGAUAUUAUACAUCAAUUCGCUGAAACAAAAUAAGUUAAAGGUUCACAUAUUACUUGACAGACAAGUUAUUUAUCAAACCACUAGAGCAUAAGAGACCAAAAAACUAACAACAUAGUUUUCCACUACAAAAAGGGUCACCCACAAUUGGCAAAGCCAAAUGAAUGACACUUUAAAAAACUUAAAACACAACACUGUUAACGGGACUAUGAAAUACAGCCGAUCAAUACCCGAACUUAACCCAAUACUUCUAACCGAAACAUUACCAAUCCCACACAUUUUAAAAACAGCAGCAGGUUCAUGGCUUUAGACUCCAGUAUUAACCUUACCAUAUCGUAAUUAACUUUUUUUUUGUUAUCCUAGAGAGACCAUCUAUUAAGUUAUAUUUGGCAGACUACGUACGAUCUUGGUGGAUCUAUCUUUUGUAUCAUUUACAAAUAAAUGAUAGAAGUUUGUAUCAUUUAAUUUUGUGAUACAAUUUACAUCUUUUCUUUUGUAAGAUCGAUUUGUUUUUUUCUCUUUUUUUUUUUGUUUUCAUUUGGUUGUUAAUGCGAGCUUUGUAGUUUUUUGGUGGGGGUAGUGUUCUCCAUCGAAAUCUUAUUUACAUGUUUGUGGAACUUUCCUGAAAGUUGACAUAUUUUGUUUACUAUUAAGAUUCUAAUUGUAAAUUUAUUUAAGAAAAAAAAAUAACCGAACCCGGCGCGUAGCGCCGGAAUACCACUAGUUACUCUAAUAGUAUUCUAUUUUAGAAUGAAAAAUAAAGUGAAAAUAGAAUGAUGAACAAAAAAUAAAAAAAUUACUCUAUAUAUAGAAUAAAAAAUAAAUUUAUGCUAUUAUAGAGUAUAAAAUAAAAUAUUAUUAAAUUAAUUUUACUCUAAACUCUAUUUUAAAAAGAAAAAUAGAAUAGAGUUAAAAAUGCCUUUGUGUCUUACACAAACUAACCUAUUGUGUGCAGAUGUGAAGACAGAUGCAUAUGAUAAAGUUUUCUUCUUUUUUCAGCCAGCAAUUAAGUUUUUCCUUUUGGUGAAAAUGUUUUUAAUUAAAAGGCCGAAUUUUUUGACUUUGAAUAUCUGCAAAAGAGAUAGGUCGCACAGCUGCUGACUCGAACUAUUCUUCAGGACCACUUGCAAUACCGACACGUGUCUUUUCAUUCGAGGCAAGACAAAAAAGUAUACCAGCUUUCUUUUAAGCCGAUAUAAGCCGCAUAAGCUGUCUCCUUCGGCGGGUAUUUGGGAUUGUAUUUACAUCUUUUACUACGUACAUGAUAUUUGUAAUUAAAUAAUUGAUCGUAACUUUCUUUUGUAAUUCGAAUUGAACUACAAAGUACAAACUAUUCAGAGAAAAUUUACAACAAUACCAAAUUUCCUAAAUUAGAAUAUGGAAAUUUUCAGAACUAAAGCCUUGAAACUCGAAAGGACCAUUGUGAACGAUCACAUCUUCUAUUUUCUAAUUGACAAACUAAUGUGACUUCAAGGCUUUAUAUGUUUAUCUUUAGAAAAAAUAUACAACCAUCUUUGAAUUUAGGCAGAUCCUUAUUAUAUGAUAUUUCUUACUGAACAUUUUAUUUUCUACAAGUGGGGCCGAAAGCACGGGUGUCUAAAAUGAUUUGGAAUACUGUUGAAUUUUGUAACUUUUUAUGAAACAGUUAAAUGUUUAUUUAUAAAAUAUCACUAAACUCUAAUAUACGUAUCUUUAUGUUAUUUUUUUGCUGUUUUGUAAGACUGUUAUUUAAUAUAUUUUGUUAUACAGAUUUUAUUUUAUUUUAUAUAGUUUCUACAAUUUUGAAUAACGAUACAUAUUUUAACUUAAUAUAAAAUAUUUUAAAUUUAGAACUACAUUUUAUCAUCACGGUAACAGUUGGCUAUACUAUAAACAAUCAAUAAAUAUAACUAUUAAAGAUAUAAAUGAAUUUUAACAUGUUUUUUUAGUUUGUGUGAAGAAUGUUAAAAUAAUAUUCUUUGUAUAACAAAUGAGUAUUUUUUUAAAAAUAACCACUUACCAUGUUGGACUCAUCCUUGCCUACUAUCCUGUUUUCUUUUCAUUCACAUAAUAUAAAGAAAAAAUACAAGAAAUCACAAGAACAAGGAACACCACAGGCAAUAAAGAAAUUUUAAAUUUAUCUUCAGUUUAAAAAGUUAAAUAUUUUUUUUAUUUUUUUUUUUGAAUGAAUAUUAAAUUUGAUUCAUAAAAAAAGCCUGUUUACAUCAUGGUGUAGUCCUUAGUUAAAUAUAACUCUAUCUUUUACUUCUUUACAUUUUAAACUCUAGUACUAAACCAAUAUUGAAGAGCAUUCUCCAUUCCCUUACCUCCCUUAUAUCUAAGAAUACUCAGCUUGACCUCGAUUGAUAUUGAUCAAGAUGAAUAACCUUACACUUCGUCUAUGAACUCCAGAUCUCGCGAGUUCUGUUCUAUCACUGAUUCCCAUCAAUAUUUUGAUCGUUUCCAGCAUGAACGCUCUAAUACCACUUUUAGCAUAUCCAACAAAUAAUACUCAACAAACCGUAUUGGAUUCAAGAACUCCCGUGCACAGGUUUGUACUAUCAUCUUGUAUUCCUAUUACUGUAGUGUUACCAAUCGGAACUGUAUUUGUAUUAUCAUCUUGUACCAUUUUUAUUUGUACAAUUACCUUUCCUAUUCUUUUUUCUUUUGACAAAAUUGUUCAAUCUUUAGUAUUAAUUUAAACCAUAGUUGUCACCAAGAGCCGAUAAAAGUAUAUAUUGAAAAUAUAAUAAAUAUAAAUCUAUUGUAAAUAUUUAUAUCUUAAAGAACUAAGCGUUGUAGCAAAGUCAAUACCCAAAAAUGUUAACUAUACUGGUAAGGUCUUCUGUUCUAAAAAUAGAAAUAUUAAAUUCUAGUCUCAACAAUUACGAAAAAAAACUAGCAACCGAUUCUUGUCUUUGAGUCGAGAAAUAUCUAAAAUAAGAAAAUUUUACAACUUUUGCAUUUAAAAUUUCUCAACGUGUGAGUCUCUCGCAAGUAAUAUCAAUAUUUAAUUAAUAGGUUUAUCGGAAACUCUUCCACCCGGAUGAUUUUAGGGACUCUCUUAAUUACUGUCAUUCUGAAAAUAUGAUAAAUAAGUCAUGUAUAUGCGGUAAGCACUGGAAAUAGAUUGCCAAACCAAAUUUUGAACAACGAUUUGCUAGUUACAAAAUGAUAAUUUAUUGCCAAACCAAAUUUUGAACAACGAUUUGCUAGUUACAAAAUGACAAUAAAUUAUCAAUUCCGCGGUCACCAUUCAGAUCCUUAGAUUGUUUUGAACUUAAUUGAUGACCAGGCUAGUUAAAAAGAAUCUCCUACGGUUGCAGCUUCACACUCGCUAGACUGAAGAUAGAAAAUAUUAAGUAAUAUAUCUAAUGCUCAUGAGCUCGUCCAUUUAUCCAUUUACAUAUGAUAUAAGUCAAAGGUCAUGUUUUGGUGUGACAGGGAGUAUACUUCUCAUGCAUGAUGAUGUCCCUAAUGUCUUCUAUUAGACAAAAAUGUCUAACAAAUAAAUAAUCUUAUACUUCCUUCGUAUAUUAUUUUUUAGUGUACAAAAAUAAAAAAAAAAUAUAUUUUUCUAAAAAAUAGUUUAAAAACCAUAAUUUAAAAAUCAUCCAACCAAUUAUAAAAAUAAUUACAACAUCUAAUUAAUUAUAUAAUUUUCAAUAAAACUAAAAUAACAUUAAAAUAUCAAAAUAUCAUCUAUAUUUUGAAACAACAAAAAUCUUUUUAAACAGCGGGAGUAUUAAAUUUGAGUUUGUAUUAUGAUUAGUUAUGUUUCAAAUAAGUAAUCCUAUAUUAAAUUUGAGUUUAUACUAUGAUUAGUUAUGUUUCGUCAAUUUGGUAUAAAUAUUAAUUGCUUUCUUUUUAUUUGAUACAAAUUAUUAGUUAUAUUUACCGGGUACAGAAUUAACUUAAUUCUAGACUUUUAGUAUACAUACAAAAGUGUCGAUAAUGUGUAUAUCUACGUCAACAGUAGUAAUCUGUUUCUUCCAUCUUUCCCUGUGUGCGACGUGUCGAGCGAUGACUGGAUAAAUAAAGUGGUGAAAUGGACGGCUGUGAACAGUUGGAUUGGUUGAGCUGUCGACGAUCGAAGCGGUAGCAAGAGGGGGACCGUACACGUGCCUAUCAUCCUCCUUUAGCCUUCCUGCGAGGUUUUUUUAUUUCUUUUAUUAAAUAAUUUAUUAUUAAAUCUACAAAGUGAUUGUGACAAUUGGCUACGAAGAAAACGACAUCUUCUUGAUGCGUUUAAGGUCCCACGUCACAUGGGUUGGUGGGACCCCUAGUUUUCCUCAUUAGUUUCGCAUAAGCUAUAGUGUGGGCCCGAUUUCACAAACUUGUCAGUAUACUGGAAAAAAGAGAGAAAAAUUAUAAUCCUUUCUUUCAAAAUACAUAAAGUUUUAAGAUUAUGCACAACUAUUAAGAAAUUUAUUUUUUAUUUUAAAAAUAUCAUUAAAAUAUAAAUUAAAAGGUAUUCAAACAAUCACAAAACAGACUACAAAAUAUCAUUUGCUACACAGUUUUUGAUAAAGUGAGAAAGUGCAUUGAUAUAUGAAAACAUCAUAUAUUUUGAAACGGAAUGAGUAUUUCAAAAAGAAUUUCACAAAAUUCGGCAUCGCAUCCCUCUCCUUUUUUUUACGUUUUUCUUUAAAAAAUGAAUAGUGGCAAAACCCAGUUUAAUUUGAAAAUAGUGUCAGGUAGGAAUCAUAAACAAAAAUCCAAAACGAGUGUUACUUGUGGACUCCAACAUAUCAUUUUUUAAUUUAUUUAUCAUCUAAUUUAAUAUAACUAGUAUAACUUAAUUAAAGAAUAUGUAGAUAUGAUUAAUUUAUGAUACUAAUGAUCAUGACAUGUGUGAUUUUAUAUAAUUCUGAUAAUAUCUAUAUAUGUAUGUAUAUAUAAUAUUACUUGUUCUUAACUUUGUACAUUAUCAGUAUAUAUCAUUUAUUCUAUUAAUCAAAUUUGAAAUGGUCUGAAAAUCUAAAUUGUAAUAGAACAACAUACAAAACUAAAUUAUUAUUAAAAAAUAAAGCAACAUGUGUCCAAUUAACUAAAAAGACAAAAAAAAUAUGAGCUGAUUAUAAACCAGUUCCAACUUUGAUCCUAAUGUUACUGCUGUCACGCGCCUUUGCCUAUUAGGUCAUCUCCAACCCAACUCCAAAACACUAUUUUAGUGUGAUUUUGACACUAAAAUCUUCUCCAACCAAACUGCAAAAAUCACACCAUUUUAGUGUCACACUAUAAUUUUACACCAAAUUUGGUGUGACACUAUUCACCACACUAUAACACUAUUCACUCCACUAAAAUACUAUUCACUUAUUUUAUUAAUAAAUUGUACAAUUAAAUAAAUAACAAAUAAAAAAUUAAAUACAUAUAAUAUUAUAAAAUAACUUUUAGUGUGAAGUUUAGUGUUGUGGUUGGAGAAGAACAUUUUUUUUGUGUUGAAACUACACCAAAAUAGUGUAGUUUUGACAUUAAAAUAGUGUUAUGGGUUGGAGAUGCUCUUACACCAUUGAGCAACUUGUCCUCUGUCAUAUUUAUUCCUCUUUUUCAUCUUUUAUCAGCCUGCGAGAAUAGUGUAUUAUUCGGGUGGUCGUUGGUCGAUAAACUAUUUUUGCCAUAUUAAGAAUCAGAGCCGUUUCUAUAAAUUUAAACUCUAGAAGCAAAAACAUCAACUCUUUUAAAAAAAAAAAUUAAAAUGACCACGGAGAGAUUCAAACCAUGGUGGCAGCCAACAAUCGUCUAUAAAACAAAAGGCUGAAAGCAUGUACUUCCCUUGUUUACUUUUCACCAAAAGCCGGCAUUGUUAAGAAUUGAUGAUAGAAAAAGACACAAUAUUAUCCUAAUCAAGCAAGAAUAAUCCAGUGAACCGAGGUAGAAAUAAAUAAUUAAAUAAUCUAAAAAAAAAUCAUGAAAUCCAACCUAAAAAAUCAGAAAAUUUAUUUAUAUUAAUCCCGAAAUAAAAAUAGAAAAGAUGCAUAUAGAUUAACUUUGUUUUGGAUUGAAACAAAACAAAAUCUUGUAGAACUGGAAAGCUUAUUUGGAUAUCAACAAACAAAAACAAAAUGAUCUUAAGAUUCUAAGAAGACAAAAACAAACUUCUACUCCAUUCCUUUAAAAGAUCUAGAAAUGGUAAGAAAAAAAAAGAGAGAGAGAAGUAAUUUCUAAAAAGAACAAAUAAAUAAGUAUUUAUCUAAUUUAGGAUACAAAGCAUAUGUACAACAUAUUUUUUUUUGUCAUCCAUAAAUUCAAAUUCUCCUGUUAAUUACAAAUAAUAUAAAAAUCCGAAAUCGAUAGCUAUAAGAUUACAAAAAUAACAACAAUAAAUGAGUGGGGUAUUUAUGUUUUUUUAACGCUGAUUUAUUAUGAUCUUACAAUUAUGAUAUGAAAAAGAUUACAUAGACGAUUCGACAAUCAAUAAUACUAUUUGCCUUAUGAAGACCUAUGCGUAACUGCAUCACCUGAACCGUCCUAUGAAGAUCUACGUUUGACCAGAUUUACUUGCACCAUGUUAAAGAUCUCUUGUAAGCCUUUCUUCUGUAAUAUGUAUAAUUAUGUAAUAAGUCGUCUUUCUAAAACUUGAAACAUGAAUUUCCUAUACUUUGUAAUAAACUGCAUAGUCUAUAGUCUGGGAUUUACUUUAAUAUAGAAAAAUAGUAAUACAGAUAAAAAAUAGCAAUCCAAGAUAAAAACGCUGAUCCUUGUAUUAAUCUAUAAAUAUAGAAUAUAAAUAAUUCAGAUAAUAAAAAUAUUGUUAAUAUUUAUAUAGUGGUGUUGUUAAGAUCUGAUUGCCUCAUUUUCAGAUGCUAUUCAUGACGGGAGUAAAGCUUCUGAACGUGUCAGACUAUUUGCAUCAUCUUUAUAAUUUUUAUAGUUCUUCGAUAGAUUCACUAACAGUGAUGCCUCAUGCUUCCACUUCACGUACGCGCACAAUCACGACUGACGACUUUUUCUUCUUCAAGCACGUUAAUGAUUUAUCCUCCACGUCGAGUUAUAUUUUAUUCCCUGAAUUUAUCCAUCUUUAAGUAAAUAUAUUAUAUCACCUUUUCCUUGUUCUUUUUUGGUUUUAUAUAUUUAUUAUCAGUGCACACA